UCAGGCCUAACACAUGCAAGUCGAGCGGCAGCGACAUGAUAGAAGCUUCGGUGGACAUCAUGGGCGGCGAGCGGCGGACGGGUGAGUAAUGCCUGGGAAUAUGCCCUGGUGUGGGGGAUAACUAUUGGAAACGAUAGCUAAUACCGCAUAAUCUCUUCGGAGCAAAGAGGGGGACCUUCGGGCCUCUCGCGUCAGGAUUAGCCCAGGUGGGAUUAGCUAGUUGGUGGGGUAACGGCUCACCAAGGCGACGAUCCCUAGCUGGUCUGAGAGGAUGAUCAGCCACACUGGAACUGAGACACGGUCCAGACUCCUACGGGAGGCAGCAGUGGGGAAUAUUGCACAAUGGGGGAAACCCUGAUGCAGCCAUGCCGCGUGUAUGAAGAAGGCCUUCGGGUUGUAAAGUACUUUCAGCAGUGAGGAAGGGGUGUACGUUAAUAGCGUAUAUCUUUGACGUUAGCUGCAGAAGAAGCACCGGCUAACUCCGUGCCAGCAGCCGCGGUAAUACGGAGGGUGCGAGCGUUAAUCGGAAUUACUGGGCGUAAAGCGCAUGCAGGCGGUCUGUUAAGCAAGAUGUGAAAGCCCGGGGCUUAACCUCGGAACAGCAUUUUGAACUGGCAGGCUAGAGUCUUGUAGAGGGGGGUAGAAUUUCAGGUGUAGCGGUGAAAUGCGUAGAGAUCUGAAGGAAUACCGGUGGCGAAGG
rnacentral:rRNA from 1 species